AGAUGUGAGGGCAAUCUGGCUGUGUUAUCUGUCACUGAUCGCCAGAGUUGAUUCAGCUGAUCCUGCUGGCUAGGCAGGUGUCCCCUUCCUCCUUCACUAUUCCAUGUGCAUCCCUCCUGAAGCUGCACACACACUCAGCUGAAGAGGCAGACCUCCCCCAAUAGAGGAGGACCGGUCUUUGGUCAAGGGUACAUGAGUAGCUGCGCUCCCCUGCUCUCAAGAAAAUACCACCGGGCUGGAAAGAUGGCUCAGUGGUUAAGAGCACUGUCUGCUCUUCCAU
rnacentral:snRNA from 1 species